UACUCCAAGGCAGUUCCGAUGGCAACGUUCGACGAAAUUGAGAGAAAGAUGCGCGAAGAGAACUUCAAAGUGUAUCUCAUUGGCCUCGACAAGGAAAUCGCCGAUUGCCACACUCUGAUUAACCUUCAGGGAAAGCUGAACUGCAAGUUCGUUGUCGGCUAUUACUUCGGUGAUAAACCACAGCGUCCUAACCUCAAAGAGCGCUGGCCACAAUCCUCUGAAGAAAAUUUGAAGCGCCUUGCUGAUGCUGGCAUCCCGCUGGAUCGCCAAAUUCCGAAAUGCGUCAACUGUGGCCAAAUGGGACAUGGAUCGCGUGCAUGUCCGGACGAGCGUUCGGUUGUUGAGAAGGUGGAGGUCAAAUGUGUGAAUUGU
rnacentral:sRNA from 2 species